UACGUAGGGGGCAAGCGUUGUCCGGAUUUAUUGGGCGUAAAGAGCGUGUAGGCGGCCACACAGGCCUGCUGUGAAAACUCGAGGCUCAACCUCGAGCUGUCGGUGGAAACCGUGUGGCUAGAGUCCGGAAGAGGAGAGUGGAAUUCCCGGUGUAGCGGUGAAAUGCGCAGAUAUCGGGAAGAACACCCGUGGCGAAGGCGGCUCUCUGGGACGGUACUGACGCUGAGACGCGAAAGCGUGGGGAGCGAACAGG
rnacentral:rRNA from 1 species